rnacentral:rRNA from 1 species
AUUGAACGCUGGCGGCAUGCCUUACACAUGCAAGUCGAACGGCAGCGGACCUUCGGGUGCCGGCGAGUGGCGAACGGGUGAGUAAUAUAUCGGAACGUGCCCAGGUAGUGGGGGAUAACCCGGCGAAAGUCGGACUAAUACCGCAUACGACCUACGGGUGAAAGCGGGGGAUCGCAAGACCUCGCGCUAUCGGAGCGGCCGAUAUCAGAUUAGCUUGUUGGUGGGGUAAAAGCCUACCAAGGCGACGAUCUGUAGCUGGUCUGAGAGGACGACCAGCCACACUGGGACUGAGACACGGCCCAGACUCCUACGGGAGGCAGCAGUGGGGAAUUUUGGACAAUGGGCGCAAGCCUGAUCCAGCCAUGCCGCGUGCGGGAAGAAGGCCUCGGUUGUAACG